UACACACAUAACUGUAAAUCGCUUUGGAUAAAAGCGGUUGCUAAAUGGAAUAUA
rfam:Salmo salar isolate Sally breed double haploid chromosome ssa09, whole genome shotgun sequence.